UAAUGAUGUAUUGUAGCUCUGCGUUUCUUGUUCGUUCACUCUUUUGUCAGGUAUUAACAAGAUAAAUCCCAAGCAUCAUCCACCUUAUUAGCCCUUGAACAUGAAGGCUUGUAAAAUGGAUGAUGCUUGGGAUUUAUUUUGUACUCUCCUCUUCUAAAAGAGUGUUGCCUCCAUAGGACUACCAAUGAUUUCAGA